AGUGAACGCUGGCGGUAGGCCUAACACAUGCAAGUCGAACGGCAGCACAGUAAGAGCUUGCUCUUACGGGUGGCGAGUGGCGGACGGGUGAGGAAUACAUCGGAAUCUACUUUUUCGUGGGGGUUAACGUAGGGAAACUUACGCUAAUACCGCAUACGACCUACGGGUGAAAGCAUGGGAUCUUCGGACCUUGCGCGAUUGAAUGAGCCGAUGUCGGAUUAGCUAGUUGGCGGGGUAAAGGCCCACCAAGGCGACGAUCCGUAGCUGGUCUGAGAGGAUGAUCAGCCAAACUGGAACUGAGACACGGUCCAGGCGACUACGGGAGGCAGCAGUGGGGAAUAUUGGACAAUGGGCGAAAGCCUGAUCCAGCCAUACCGCGUGGGUGAAGAAGGCCUUCGGGUUGUAAAGCCCUUUUGUUGGGAAAGAAAAGCAGCAGGUUAAUACCCCGCUGUUCUGACGGUACCCAAAGAAUAAGCACCGGCUAACUUCGUG
rnacentral:rRNA from 1 species